rnacentral:snRNA from 1 species
GGAUGUGAGGGUGAUCUGGCUGUGACAUCUGUCACCCCAUUGAUCACCAGGGUUGAUUUGGCUGAUGUGGCUGGCUAGGCGGGUAUCCCCUUCCUCCUUCACUGCUCCAUGUGUUUCCCUCCCAAAGCUGCGUUAGAGAAUGGCCUUCCCCGAAUAAGAGACCAGUCUUCAGUCAAGGGUGUAUGAGUAGCUGUGCUCCCCUGCUAGAACUUCCAAACAAGCUAUCAAAACACAUAUAACAACAACAACAACAAUAAUAAUAACAAUACCUAGGUAUAAAAGUAUGUCAUAUAACUG